UACUAGGUACUAUAAAGGAAAAUGUCAAAUGAUUUUAAAACAAAAAGAAAAAUAUUUUCCCGGCAAUUAUUCGGUUUUCGAACUCGAGUUAGAGAGAAUUCAACUCGAGUGGAUUCGAGUUACGUCCAACUCGAGUUAACCAUCACUAUGAAAGAAUCGGUUGAUGGAUUGAAAUUUAAAUUGGUAUCAAAUCAAUUUAAAAUUCCUAUCUCAUCCAAUUUUAAGGAACAGAACUAUUUUAGUGGUUUUGACGACGGUAUUUCAAGUCUCCAAGCAUUUCUUGCUUGUAUUAUGCCAUGUUAUGAUAAGCAGAUCGAGUGCAAUUUUAUAAGUUGUUGUUUCGGCGAUAAUAGAACGCACCAGAAUCAUUUCGAUGGACAGUGAGCCUAUUAUCACAGUAAAAAAAAGGAGAACUAGCCUGCAAAAUUGAAGUGAUGAAAUGCAGCAGUCAAUAAUAGAAAGUAAUAAUGAUUUUAAGAAGAGACAAUUAGAAAUGUUGGAAGAGGAACACACAUAUAACAUAAAAAUAGCAAAAUUAAAAAUUUAACAAUUGGAAAAGGAACAUGAAUAUAACAUGCCUUUAGCAAAAUUAAAAAUAAAAAAAAAAUGAAUUAGAAAUAAGUAAAUUGGAAAGUAAGAAAGACUCCAACACUGAUUAAUAAAAUGUACUUUUAUUUGCUGCAGAUAUUUAAGUAAUUAAAGAUUAAA